GAUGAGCCCGCGUUGGAUUAGCUAGUUGGUGGGGUAAAGGCCUACCAAGGCGACGAUCCAUAGCUGGUCUGAGAGGAUGAUCAGCCACAUUGGGACUGAGACACGGCCCAAACUCCUACGGGAGGCAGCAGUGGGGAAUAUUGGACAAUGGGCGCAAGCCUGAUCCAGCCAUGCCGCGUGAGUGAUGAAGGUCUUAGGAUUGUAAAGCUCUUUCACCGGGGACGAUAAUGACGGUACCCGGAGAAGAAGCCCCGGCUAACUUCGUGCCAGCAGCCGCGGUAAUACGAAGGGGGCUAGCGUUGUUCGGAAUUACUGGGCGUAAAGCGCACGUAGGCGGAUAUUUAAGUCAGGGGUGAAAUCCCGGGGCUCAACCCCGGAACUGCCUUUGAUACUGGGUAUCUUGAGUGUGGUAGAGGUGAGUGGAAUUGCGAGUGUAGAGGUGAAAUUCGUAGAUAUUCGCAGGAACACCAGUGGCGAAGGCGGCUCACUGGACCACAACUGACGCUGAGGUGCGAAAGCGUGGGGAGCAAACGGGAUUAGAUACCCUGGUAGUCCACGCC
rnacentral:rRNA from 1 species